UUCACCCCCCUCUUAGUCCCGAUUCGUUCCUAACAGAAGGAACCAAACACCCAUAGGCUAGAGAUUUCUUGAUUCCCACCUCCUAUUCUACGCUCACUAUCGGAGCUGGGUAGGACCUUCAUGUAUAGGUCGCACGGGGUCGAUUCGACCCCUUCACUCUAAAACCAUCAUAACUUAAAUGAUCUCAGAAUCACUAUUGCGACUCCAAUCUAAAAAGCUUUCUUC
rnacentral:lncRNA from 1 species